UUCAAAAACAUUGCCUUUUGAAGAAAAGUAAAAGGUAAUUCUGCCCAGUGAUGUCAAGUUCAACGGCCGCGGUACCCUGACCGUGCUAAGGUAGCACAAUUACGCGCCUCUUAAUUAGAGGAUAGAAUGAAUGAAAUUACAUGUCAUGAUCUUUCUUAUUUAUUUAUUAUUAAAUUUACAUUUAAGUGAAAAGGCUUAAAUCUAGACCUAGGACAAAAAGACCCUAGAAGCUUUCCUAUUACUGCCUUACUUUGGAAAUAUAAGGUUUAUUUGGGGCGAAGAUAAGUUAUAUACACUUUAGUUUAAAAUGGUAACUUCCAGAUAUAUUAAGCCAGCCGCACAUGAGUAAGUUACUCUAGGGAUAACAGGCCGAUCUGUCAUUGGUAGCUCAUAUACCAUGGCAGGCUUGGCACCUCGAUGUUGGCUUAGGUUUUCGUACUGCUGUAGCAGGCAGAGCCCGAGGGUUUGUUCAACCUUUAAUAACCUACGUGAUCUGAGUUCAGACCGG
rnacentral:rRNA from 1 species